rnacentral:rRNA from 1 species
CAGCGCGGGGCAACCUGGCGGCGAGUGGCGAACGGGUGAGUAAUAUAUCGGAACGUACCCAGAAGUGGGGGAUAACGUAGCGAAAGUUACGCUAAUACCGCAUACGAUCUACGGAUGAAAGUGGGGGACCUUCGGGCCUCAUGCUUGUGGAGCGGCCGAUAUCUGAUUAGCUAGUUGGUGAGGUAAAGGCUCACCAAGGCGACGAUCAGUAGCUGGUCUGAGAGGACGACCAGCCACACUGGGACUGAGACACGGCCCAGACUCCUACGGGAGGCAGCAGUGGGGAAUUUUGGACAAUGGGCGCAAGCCUGAUCCAGCAAUGCCGCGUGAGUGAAGAAGGCCUUCGGGUUGUAAAGCUCUUUUGUCAGGGAAGAAACGGCCCAGGCUAAUAUCCUGGGCUAAUGACGGUACCUGAAGAAUAAGCACCGGCUAACUACGUGCCAGCAGCCGCGGUAAUACGUAGGGUGCAAGCGUUAAUCGGAAUUACUGGGCGUAAAGCGUGCGCAGGCGGUUUUGUAAGUCUGACGUGAAAUCCCCGGGCUCAACCUGGGAAUUGCGUUGGAGACUGCAAGGCUGGAGUCUGGCAGAGGGGGGUAGAAUUCCACGUGUAGCAGUGAAAUGCGUAGAGAUGUGGAGGAACACCGAUGGCGAAGGCAGCCCCCUGGGUCAAGACUGACGCUCAUGCACG